rnacentral:rRNA from 1 species
UACGUAGGGGGCUAGCGUUGUCCGGAAUCAUUGGGCGUAAAGAGCUUGUAGGCGGUUUGUCGCGUCUGCCGUGAAAGUCCGGGGCUCAACUCCGGAUCUGCGGUGGGUACGGGCAGACUAGAGUGAUGUAGGGGAGACUGGAAUUCCUGGUGUAGCGGUGAAAUGCGCAGAUAUCAGGAGGAACACCGAUGGCGAAGGCAGGUCUCUGGGCAUUAACUGACGCUGAGGAGCGAAAGCAUGGGGAGCGAACAGG